rnacentral:tRNA from 1 species
GCCAAAAUAGCUCAGCUGGGAGAGUAUUAGGUUGAAGAUACAAAGUUCCUUGGCUCAAUCCAGAGUUUGGGGG